GAUCCUGGCUCAGGAUGAACGCUAGCGACAGGCUUAACACAUGCAAGUCGAGGGGCAGCGGGGAGUGGCGACACUCUGCCGGCGACCGGCGCACGGGUGCGUAACACGUGUGCAACCUGCCCGUCACCGGGGGAUAACCCGUGGAAACGCGGACUAAAACCCCAUGAGACGUGAAUGGCGCAUGCCAUGAACGUUAAAACCGAGGUGGUGACGGAUGGGCACGCGGGACAUUAGGUAGUUGGCGGGGUAACGGCCCCCCAAG
rnacentral:rRNA from 1 species